rnacentral:lncRNA from 1 species
UUCUUUUUCUCCUAUUAUCUUCCAUCAUGGUCUUUCCCAAGAGACUGGUUAUAUAUAGUUCCCUGCUCUGUACAGCAGGACCUCUUGCUUAUCCAUUCUGCAUGGAAUAGUUUGCAUCUCCCAACCCCAAACUGCCUGUCAUCCAUCCCACUUUUCUGGCUCUCUGGUUCCCUGGUGAAAAUGAAACCUUGGAUUUUGGUCCAUUUCACUUUUUUUUUUUUUUUCCUGUUUGAAAGGCACUUUAAGUAGUCCCUUGAUGUUGCUUUUAAUUCCUUUUACAUUUUAAAAAGAGUUCUACUCUCAUCUCUUUACUUGUAUUGCCUGUGAAAAUGGCCUGAAUAAUGAGGCCAACAGAGAAUCCCAUCUUGAGGGCUAAUUAUUGAUGUAUUCCUCCUGUCAGCCAGCAUGUAACCUCCAGGAAUGGAAGGUUAGGCAAAGUAUCCUGGCCCCAGAAGGAACCCUGCUCAUGACACUAAGCUUCAGUCCCCCAAGGUCACGGGAAGGUGAUUUUCUAUGCUGUGUCAUGGGCCAGAAAGAGAUACCAGAUCAGCCUGCUCCUGCACAACACGUUCUUAUGAGAAAGAUUUGGCUGAAAUAGGCAUUUGAAAAUGUUUAGAAAGCUUUAUUAAAUGUAUAUUUUAAUUAAAAAUUUUUUUUCAUUAAUAAAUCCAUAAAUAACAAGUGCUGGAGGGAGUGUGGAGAAAAGGGAACCCUCUUGCACUGCUGGUGGGAAUGUAAACUGGUACAGCAACUAUGGAGAACAGUUUGGAGAUACCUUAGAAAUCUAUCCAUAGAACUUCCAUAUGACCCCGCAAUCCCACUCUUGGGCAUCUAUCUGGACAAAACUCUACUUAAAAGAGAUGCAUGCACCCAUAUGUUCACUGCAGCAUUAUUCACAAUAGCCAGGAUAUGGAAACAACCCACAUGUCCAUCAACAGAUGAUUGGAUUCGGAAGAUGUGGUGUAUAUACACAAUGGAAUACUACUCAGCUGUAAAAAAGAAUGACAUAAUGCCGUUUGCAGCAACAUGGAUGGAACUAGAGACUCUCUUACUGAGAGAAUGAGUCAGAAAGACAAAGACAAAUACCAUAGGAAUCUAAUAUGCAGCACAAAUGAACCUUUCCACGGAAAAGACAGUCAUGGACUUGGAGAAUAGACUUGUGGCCGCCUGGGGGGAGAGGGAGGGAGUGGGAGGAAUCGGGAGCUUGGGGUUGUCGGAUACAACUUGGAAUAGAUUUACAAGGAGAUCCUGCUGAGAACUAUGUCUUGAUACUUAUAUUGCAACAGAGCAAAGGGCGGGGGGGGAAAUGUAUACAUGUAAGAGGAACUUGGUCCCCAUGCUGUACAGCGGAAAAAUAUUAAAUAAUAAAACAAAAAAAAUUUUUUCAUGUAACUGUCUUUUUAAAAACUUUUUAUUCGAGUAUAGUUGAUUUACAGUGUUGCAUCGAUUUCUGCUAUACAGCCGUGGUGACCCAGUCACAUAUAUAUAUAUAGAUACAUAUAUAUAUAUAUAUAUAUAUAUAUGACUUUCUCGUGAAAGAGUUGCUUUUUAUAUGGCUAGAUGUAAAAACGUUUGGGGUGCCCUACUUGUGUCAAGGGGUUCAUGUAGGAUAGUGCUUUGUGUGGCGUUGGCCUUAACAUUCUUUGUCCAAUGAACAAAUUGGUCCGGUCUCCACUCUGGUCUGUUUCAGUUGAGAGAAGGUGAAACAGGAGACCUUCCACCAUCACACCCUUAACUUAAGCCGCGCCGAUGGGACUCUCCGGCCUUCUCUUUUCGGCGUUCCUCACUGUGGGCCUGAGAUCAGUAGGCCUGGCCAUCGCGCCCACACCUCAUGUGUAGUUAAACUCCAGCCUCUACAUUGCCGCCGUCCCGACAGCCAGGAAGAGAAGUUCUGGUAUUGCCGCUCCUCGUCCUGAGGCGGCGGCCGCAGCGGAUGUGAUGCCGCAGCGUGAUGUGGAACCGCCCCACCUGUUCUUCUCACGGAGAACAAGGUACGGGCUUGUGCCGGCAGACGCUUUUAUAUCGAAGCCGAAGCCUCUCCCCAUGCACUGCAGCUUUUCCCUGUCGACUUGUGGCCCGAGUGAAGAACUGACUAGCUCCGCUGUGCCAGUGCAGUUCCUAACGGAGCCAGUGAGGAUGGCACUGGCUCUUCACAGCAGGGCUGGGCUGCAAGGUUUACGAACAAAGAUGAAAAUUCUCCCUGUUAGGAUUUCGAAGGGGUUCAUGAGGAACCUAGAGGUCAUUAGCCUUUGUGUGUGAAAAUAAAAUAGAAUGAUCUAGAAAAAAUGUAGCCUUUAAAUGGGGAAAAUAGGGUGAGCUUUGGGAAGUGGGGACUAAGAGAGAGGCACGAUCCUUAAACAUCUGGUUUCUAGUAGGAUGUCCGCAUGUGUGCUGUGUGCCUGUGCACUGCAAGAGGCUGGAGCCAGGGGCUCUCGCCUCUUCUGGCUCCUUCAAAACCUGCUUCACCUGCAAGUUCCAUUGUGGCACAGCAGGUUAAGGAUCAGGAUCCGGCGUUGUCAUUGCAGCUGCUCGGGUCGCUGCUGUGGCACAGGUUUAGCCCAUGGCCCCAGGAACUUCCGCAUGCCUUGGAUGUGGCCCCCCAAGAAAACCUCUGCUUAAACCAAGGAUCACAUGGGAUAGACAGGCAUUUCCAUGUUUCUCUCCCUGUCUAGACUCAGAGCCCCUUGAUGGCAGGGAGAAUGCUUUAAUUCACAUCUACCUCCUAACCUCUGGACCAGAGGCUGGUACUUACAAGUGUGAUCAAAGGAAUGACUGGUCCCAAGGAUGCCCACAUUGUCAUUUCCAGGACCUGUGACCGUGGUAGCUUACAGAGCAAAAUGGACUUUGCAGGUGUGAUUAAGGCUCUUGAGAUGGGGAAAGCACCCUGGAUUAUAUGGAUGGGCCUGAUGGAAUCACAAGGAUCCCUACAAGGAAAAGAGGGGACAGGAGGGUCGGGCUCUGGAGAUGCAAGAUGAGAAAUGCUCAGCCCACCAUGGCUGGCCUUGAAGAUGGACAAAAAGCCUACAAGCCAAGGAAGGCAGGCCGCUUCUUAAAGCUGGAAAAGGCAGGGGGCUGACUUUCCCUUGGAGCCUCUGGCUGGAGCACAGCCCUGCUCACACCGUGUUUUAGUCCAGUGGCAUUCUUUAGGAUUCUGAUUUCUAAAUCCAUAAAAUGCUAAACUUGUGUUGUUUUAAGCCAUGAGGUUGUGGCGAUUUGCUCCAGUAGCAACAGGAAAUAAAUGCAGUAAGCAGUCCGCAUGGAAUGGAUGUCCUUGCUACGCAGAACCUGUGCCGAGAUCACAGCAGUGCCAGGAACACUGCUGCAGCUCCUGCUCCAACACUGGGAAGUAGAAACACUUCUAGAAACUCAGCCUAGAGACCCCCUUUUAGUUUGGUUGCCAAGCGGGAUGUGGGCUUGCGCAGCUGAAAUUGUGUUCAUCCGCUGAUGGUCAUUAGGUUUGUAACAAAAACAAAAAGGCUUUACCUUAGGUUUAUUGCGUAGGUGAUGGGGUUCAAAAGCGAACAUCCGUUUGCGUGUGUAAUAGGUGUGAAUCUUAAGUCGCAGACACAUCGUGUGUUAGACUUGCUUUUUUAUUUGCGUAUAGCUCGGCUUAAUUUGUAAUAGACACUGGAUGACUUCGCUGGAUGGUGGAAUCUUCCUGUAUGUGGUUCACGCUGACCACAGUCAAGUCAGGAACUGCUCAGUCAGUCGGGGGUCUCCUCCAGCCACCAUCUGGGGGGCUUCCACUUGUUCAGAGUCUGACCUGAAACUGAUGCAUUAGUGCAGGGAGGCUGGAGGGGAUGUGGCCCUCACUCCAUCACUGAUGGCAGUCCUGGUCAAUGUCAGCAGCCACCGAAGCUCCCACGCUCCCAUCAGUCUAAGCAGAGUGCCUGUGGCCCCCUGUGGUCUUAACCGUUCAUUUAAAGCCUCCCAGAGGGGGUUCUCUCACAGCCUCUGUGGCCCUCUUGGGGUACCCUGAAAAUGCUCGGUUGCUGACCACACCCCCUGGAGGUAGGCACUCUGAGCCUGUCCCGACUGGACACACCAAAGCUGCGUCUUUUCUCUACUGCUCCCAGGCCACGCUGUCAGUGGGGACCCACAGAGCAAAGGCAGGCUGUGUUAAGGGCCCUCGAAAUCACUUCCAAGUGUGGCGAUUCACUAGAAGGACCCCUCGAGCUCUGAAAAGGGAUUUUUCUUGUGACUGUAGUUUUUGUUUUACAGCGAGGGGCUACAGACUGAAAUAGCAGAGGACAAGACACACAACAGAACAGGAAGAAUGGUACUUAGGAAAAGGGGAAGUGUUGCAGGAGGUGGUGGCCAGGUCAGGUGGUGAGGACAGCUCUCUCCUCUGUGCUCGUCCCUUUUUGAGGAGACCAGGCACCGUCUUCCAGCUGUCCUCCGUCAGCGGAGUCCUAGAAACAGGGUCUAAUCCUACCAGCAGUGAUGUGCAUGACUACAAGGACACAUCCCUGCCAACCCAGUGCUGCGGGGUUCCGGGGUAUUCUGAGGGUCCAUCCUGUGAGGUGGGAGUGCUCACAGCCCGACCUGAACCACACAGUCUCUGUCCCUACCCUGGGCUCAGCGUUCAAGCCGGUCCAGCGAGGCCCCGGGGCCAGAGCAUUCUCCAUACAUUGCAUCGUUCUCAAAAGCAUCCCCAGGGACACAAGGUGCUUCGUCAGUCGGGAUAUUGCAAGAGCUUAGAGGUUAUCUCCCAGGACCCAGGCCAAGGCCAGUCUUUAUUUUGAGAUGUGCAGAUCCUGUGGUGUAACUCUUUACGGGGCUCUCAGCCAACCCUAAACCCGUGUGUGGUCGUUACUGUCCUCUCUUCACUCGCCACACGGGGCUCCUCUUCCCGGGAUUCUCCAUAGAGGCCCCUGCUCCCAGUCCAUAGGCUUGUCACUCAGUUUGGGGGCAGAGAAGACUGGUUAUGACUUGUCAUACAGCCUUCAGCAUCUGAGGCUCAGGCUCAUGGCAUCGACUUAAUGUCCAGAAGGGUGCAGGACUUUAGUUUUUGAAGCUUAAAGCCUGAUACUAAUGACUAAAAGUAAUUUGACCCUAUCAUUCCUCCAUCAUUUGCUGUAAGUGUCCCCCAGAGGAAAGAAUGCCACCAGCUAAAAGGGGAAAUGUGAGUCCAGAGGACAGUGACCAGAUCAGGCCGGGAGGGGGCUCUGUCCCUGGUGCCUGUUCUUCCUAAGGAGGACCAUUUUCCUGCACAGCACCAGAAGAUUUCCUCCUUCUAUCUCAUUGGCCAGAAUUGGUCACAUGCCCAGCCCUAGGCCAACGACUAGCAGAGGGAAUUAGUUUUACUGUGUUUGACUUAAACCUAAUUCAUCCCCUAAAACUGAGUAUAUUUCAUUCAGAACAAAAUCAAGAAACC